AUGUGCAGCUCAUCUUCUCACAGAGCUUUAUCCUGCGGGAGCGGAAAGCAAACGAGAACGGCUCUAACAACUGCCCGUGGAUACGGGCACCAAAACCCAGCUCCAGCAGCUGAAGGGUUCAGACCCUCUCAGCCUGUGGGGCCCACAGGGACCCCCGGCAUGGCAAAGCCAGCAGCUAUCAUGCUGGAAUUCAUAAACAGAAAAGCUGUAUGUGAGACACAUGCCCUGCUACUUCAGCCUCGGCUGGAGUCCUGCAUCCAAGUUUGGGCACUGCUCAUCAAGAAAGUCAGGCCCCAACUGGCGAGAGCCCAGAGGGCAGCAAAAGGAGUGACCAGGGACGCAGAAAGCAGCCUCUGAGGAGAGGUGGAGGAAAGUGGGCCAGCUCAUGGAAACAGAAGGCAGAGCAGAGAUGGGGGAAGAGCUUUCCCUUCAUAAAAAGCUUCCCUAGAAGACAGCAGUGGUUUGUGCUCUUGUCUGCUGGGAACUGGACAAAGUAUGGUAGGAUGGGAGAAUUAGGAUGAUUGUCAGAAAAAAAAGUGUAAAGCCCUGGAGUAGUUAACCCAAGGAGAAUAGGGAGUCAUUAAGGCAUCAUUAAGGCAUCAUUAAGGCAUCAUCAGAAAAAGAUCCUUAAGCACCUGUCAGGAUGGUCUAGACAUACUGAUCCUGGCUUGGUACAGGAGGAUGGAUUAGGGUACAUCUCCAUCUCCCUUCCUGCCAUGCUGUGGUUGUUCUGUGAGAACCUCAGGUGUGCAUUAGUUACACACCCAGCAGCCACCUGCAGCACUGGGAGUCAUCUUGGCUGCAGUGACCACAGUUGGGGCUGGUAUUUCAGAAGGUUCCUGGGGUUUUCAGUGUCCCCUGGGCCCACCUCGUGCCUCACACUCAGCACUUCUCAGCCUGCCUUUCCAUGGCCACACCAGCCUGGGGGCUCCGUGGCCCAGCAGCAGCACUCACAGGGUCUCUGCUCCAGUGGUUACCUUCAACUACAAAUCCUGUUAUUAAUCUAUGACCCCUCUUAGAAAUGGCUGUAAUGCAGCAGCACCUCCCUGCAGCCCAUCAGUUCCUACUUUCCAAAGCUGCUUCUGCUAAACAGUGUUGCCUGUUCUGGAAUUAAGAGCACGUUAACAGCAACAUGUCAGUCCCAAGGGGGUGGCUGCUGAGCAGCAGGGCAGCUUGAAUCCCAACUGAUUUGAAUGGCAAAUAUUUAAAAAAUCCAAAAUUGAUAAUAGAAAAAAAAAGAGAAAAUGAAGAGUUUCUGGUAACCAAAACAGGCAGAAGAGGAGCACCAGCCCAGAACCGCUGCAUCAUCCAGCUACACCCACACAUCAGCUUUGCAGCAUGUCCUCUGCUCCAGUCACUUCUUCUAAUUCACCUUGAACUGCUGCCACGGCUGAAGGAAACUUAGGAGAAACAGGAGAAGCCAGAAAAGCACAGGGCCUACAUUGCCCUAAAAAUAAACACCCAAAAGCACUCA
rnacentral:lncRNA from 1 species